rnacentral:pre_miRNA from 1 species
AGGAGGAACAACCACAGUGGCGGCGGCCAGCUCUCCAGCCCUGGAGUCAGCUCCCGCAGUAACUACAGAGCUCUUCGUCAGCAGGACCUGGAGGCUCCGGGGCUGG